rnacentral:rRNA from 1 species
UACAGAGGGGGCAAGCGUUGUUCGGAAUUACUGGGCGUAAAGGGCGCGUAGGCGGCCUGCUAAGUCGAACGUGAAAUCCCUGGGCUCAACCCAGGAACUGCGUCCGAUACUGGUUGGCUUGAAUCCGGGAGAGGGAUGUGGAAUUCCAGGUGUAGCGGUGAAAUGCGUAGAUAUCUGGAGGAACACCGGUGGCGAAGGCGGCGAUCUGGGCAGAUACUGACGCUGAGGUGCGAAAGCGUGGGGAGCAAACAGG